GCCGAUAUAGCUCAGUUGGUAGAGCAGCGCAUUCGUAAUGCGAAGGUCGGAGGUUCAACUCCUCUUAUCGGCAUCA
rnacentral:tRNA from 2 species